ACAUGCAAGUCGAACGAACUCUGGUAUUGAUUGGUGCUUGCAUCAUGAUUUACAUUUGAGUGAGUGGCGAACUGGUGAGUAACACGUGGGAAACCUGCCCAGAAGCGGGGGAUAACACCUGGAAACAGAUGCUAAUACCGCAUAACAACUUGGACCGCAUGGUCCGAGWUUGAAAGAUGGCUUCGGCUAUCACUUUUGGAUGGUCCCGCGGCGUAUUAGCUAGAUGGUGRGGUAACGGCUCACCAUGGCAAUGAUACGUAGCCGACCUGAGAGGGUAAUCGGCCACAUUGGGACUGAGACACGGCCCAAACUCCUACGGGAGGCAGCAGUAGGGAAUCUUCCACAAUGGACGAAAGUCUGAUGGAGCAACGCCGCGUGAGUGAAGAAGGGUUUCGGCUCGUAAAACUCUGUUGUUAAAGAAGAACAUAUCUGAGAGUAACUGUUCAGGUAUUGACGGUAUUUAACCAGAAAGCCACGGCUAACUACGUGCCAGCAGCCGCGGUAAUACGUAGGUGGCAAGCGUUGUCCGGAUUUAUUGGGCGUAAAGCGAGCGCAGGCGGUUUUUUAAGUCUGAUGUGAAAGCCUUCGGCUCAACCGAAGAAGUGCAUCGGAAACUGGGAAACUUGAGUGCAGAAGAGGACAGUGGAACUCCAUGUGUAGCGGUGAAAUGCGUAGAUAUAUGGAAGAACACCAGUGGCGAAGGCGGCUGUCUGGUCUGUAACUGACGCUGAGGCUCGAAAGUAUGGGUAGCAAACAGGAUUAGAUACCCUGGUAGUCCAUACCGUAAACGAUGAAUGCUAAGUGUUGGAGGGUUUCCGCCCUUCAGUGCUGCAGCUAACGCAUUAAGCAUUCCGCCUGGGGAGUACGGCCGCAAGGCUGAAACUCAAAGGAAUUGACGGGGGCCCGCACAAGCGGUGGAGCAUGUGGUUUAAUUCGAAGCUACGCGAAGAACCUUACCAGGUCUUGACAUACUAUGCAAAUCUAAGAGAUUAGACGUUCCCUUCGGGGACAUGGAUACAGGUGGUGCAUGGUUGUCGUCAGCUCGUGUCGUGAGAUGUUGGGUUAAGUCCCGCAACGAGCGCAACCCUUAUUAUCAGUUGCCAGCAUUAAGUUGGGCACUCUGGUGAGACUGCCGGUGACAAACCGGA
rnacentral:rRNA from 1 species